rnacentral:misc_RNA from 1 species
GCGUUAUCCUGAGGAAGACUUCUCCUUGAUGGUGGAUCUUGCUCCUAGAGAUGAAGAGGGGAGCGAGGAGGAGCUGGAGAGAGAGGAAGGGGAUCAGGGAGCUGAUAAUGUACCUGGGGAGCAGGGUGAGGGAGAUCCACCUGCUGACUGACUUGUAUAUAUUUUAUUUUGAAAUGAAUAGAAAUCCUCUUUUGUUCAAUUUCUUAAUGAGA